rnacentral:rRNA from 1 species
UGCAGUCGAGCGGACAGAUGGGAGCUUGCUCCCUGAUGUUAGCGGCGGACGGGUGAGUAACACGUGGGUAACCUGCCUGUAAGACUGGGAUAACUCCGGGAAACCGGGGCUAAUACCGGAUGGUUGUUUGAACCGCAUGGUUCAAACAUAAAAGGUGGCUUCGGCUACCACUUACAGAUGGACCCGCGGCGCAUUAGCUAGUUGGUGAGGUAACGGCUCACCAAGGCAACGAUGCGUAGCCGACCUGAGAGGGUGAUCGGCCACACUGGGACUGAGACACGGCCCAGACUCCUACGGGAGGCAGCAGUAGGGAAUCUUCCGCAAUGGACGAAAGUCUGACGGAGCAACGCCGCGUGAGUGAUGAAGGUUUUCGGAUCGUAAAGCUCUGUUGUUAGGGAAGAACAAGUACCGUUCGAAUAGGGCGGUACCUUGACGGUACCUAACCAGAAAGCCACGGCUAACUACGUGCCAGCAGCCG